CGGCAGCUUGAUCCUCAUGCAGAAGCGAGCUAUCCUCCGGCAACUCCAGACGCCACUUCCUUCCGGCGGCGACCACCACCCGAGAGAGACCGCCACACCAGCACCGUGGACGCCAGCAGGGACCCGCUGUUGAUCAUGAAGGUGUACCAGUUGAAGAAGGAGCCCUUCCUCCUCAGCUCCGCCGCGUCGCCGCCGUCGAACUGGUCCGCCCCGAACGCCGACGUGCACGGCUUCACGCCGCCGUUCCCGAACGCCACCAGGUACAGCCCGACGUACACGGCCGCGCUGUGGAGCUGGUGGCCGGCGUCGGACGACGUCAUGCUCGCCGGCAGCGACGUCGACACCAUUAGAGCUACCAGUCCCUGACAAAGACAGAAACCAGCUCAAUUAUCAAGACAGAAUUUUUUUUUUGAAUUUUUUUAUCAAGACAGAAUUGUUCAUCAGAGAAUGGAACUCAAUCCAGCCUCUGCAUCGAUCAAAGAUGUGAACUUACGAGGAUGUAAAGAGGGAGGAAAGUAAGAACAGUUCGGUAUUUUCCCCAA